AGUGGCGGACGGGUGAGUAACACGUAAGAAUUUGCCUUUAGGAGGGGGAUACAACUAGAGAUAGUAGCCAAUACCCCAUAUGCUUUCGAGUGAAAUGGAUUUUUCCGCCUAGAGAGAAGCUUGCGGCUGAUUAGCUUGUUGGUGAGGUAAUGGCUCACCAAGGCGACGAUCAGUAUCUGGUUUGAGAGGACGAUCAGACACACUGGAACUGAGACACGGUCCAGACUCUUACGGGAGGCUGCAGUGGGGAAUUUUCCGCAAUGGGCGAAAGCCUGACGGAGCAAUACCGCGUGAGGGAUGACGGCCUAUGGGUUGUAAACCUCUUUUUUCAGGGAGGAAUCAAUGACGUGUACCUGAAGAAUAAGCAUCGGCUAACUCCGUGCCAGCAGCCGCGGUAAGACGGAGGAUGCAAGUGUUAUCCGGAAUCACUGGGCGUAAAGCGUCUGUAGGUGGUCCAAUAAGUUAACUGUUAAAUCUUGAGGCGCAACCUCAAAAUCGCAGUCGAAACUAUUAGACUAGAGUAUAGUAGGGGUAAAGGGAAUUUCCAGUGGAGCGGUGAAAUGCGUAGAGAUUGGAAAGAACACCGAUGGCGAAGGCACUUUACUGGGCUAUUACUAACACUCAGAGACGAAAGCUAGGGUAGCAAAUGGGAUUAGAUACCCCAGUAGUCCUAGCCGUAAACAAUGGAUACUAGAUGUUG
rnacentral:rRNA from 1 species